CAGCCGCCGCGGUAAUACGUAGGGUGCAAGCGUUAAUCGGAAUUACUGGGCGUAAAGCGUGCGCAGGCGGUUAUAUAAGUCAGAUGUGAAAUCCCCGGGCUCAACCUGGGACCUGCAUUUGUGACUGUAUAGCUAGAGUACGGUAGAGGGGGAUGGAAUUCCGCGUGUAGCAGUGAAAUGCGUAGAUAUGCGGAGGAACACCGAUGGCGAAGGCAAUCCCCUGGACCUGUACUGACGCUCAUGCACGAAAGCGUGGGGAGCAAACAGGAUUAGAUACCCCUGUAGUCCCUGUCUCUUAUAC
rnacentral:rRNA from 1 species